AUUGAACGCUGGCGGCAGGCCUAACACAUGCAAGUCGAACGGUAACAGGAAGAAGCUUGCUUCUUUGCUGACGAGUGGCGGACGGGUGAGUAAUGUCUGGGAAACUGCCUGAUGGAGGGGGAUAACUACUGGAAACGGUAGCUAAUACCGCAUAACGUCGCAAGACCAAAGAGGGGGACCUUCGGGCCUUUUGCCAUCGGAUGUGCCCAGAUGGGAUUAGCUAGUAGGUGGGGUAACGGCUCACCUAGGCGACGAUCCCUAGCUGGUCUGAGAGGAUGACCAGCCACACUGGAACUGAGACACGGUCCAGACUCCUACGGGAGGCAGCAGUGGGGAAUAUUGCACAAUGGGCGCAAGCCUGAUGCAGCCAUGCCGCGUGUAUGAAGAAGGCCUUCGGGUUGUAAAGUACUUUCAGCGGGGAGGAAGGGAGUAAAGUUAAUACCUUGGCUCAUUGACGUUACCCGCAGAAGAAGCACCGGCUAACUCCGUG
rnacentral:rRNA from 1 species